GUCAACAUGUCUGCCAUGGAAAAAUCUUUUUGGAAGUGAUAGCAGGUUACAACCCUAUGUUUUAAAUAUUUUUAUUUACAAUUGACGGAUAUCAUUUGAUCUGAUGGAUCAUGCCAGCUACUACUGUAUGUAACGUUUGUACUUAGGGCUACAGCAGCGCAUGUAUGCUUGGCUGUUCAGAUCAAAAGCUUCAAGCAGCCCAGUGUUCUCCCCACGCUAGUGAUGGAUUUUGUCUCCUACUACUGCUUUAGAAUGCCGAAGGAGAAAAAGUGCCAUCGCAGAAAAAGCUGUUCUUGGGGCUUCAUUAAAGCCUCUGACCUACUUCGAGCACUAAAGAAGAUAGAGGAAAAAGACACAGCUGGGGUGCGAAAUUCAGGAAAUGACAGAAAAAGAGGGAUUCCUGUUCGACUUUAUAAGCGAUGCCUAAGGCUGGAAAGAGAAGCUGAUAUUAUGGCACAGCUCACAUGAUUACAGACUAAGCUGCCAUGUGCAGCAACAAUGACUUUUAUCAGCUUUAAAUUUCAUGCGGCAUUUUCUGUUUCUCUCUGAUGGUAUAAAAUGGCAGUGCAAUGAAAAUACUCAAGGACUCAAACCCUUCA